rnacentral:rRNA from 1 species
CAUUCAGUUGGGCACUCUAAGGUGACUGCCGGUGACAAACCGGAGGAAGGUGGGGAUGACGUCAAAUCAUCAUGCCCCUUAUGACCUGGGCUACACACGUGCUACAAUGGACAGAACAAAGGGCUGCAAGACCGCAAGGUUUAGCCAAUCCCAUAAAUCUGUUCUCAGUUCGGAUCGCAGUCUGCAACUCGACUGCGUGAAGCUGGAAUCGCUAGUAAUCGCGGAUCAGCAUGCCGCGGUGAAUACGUUCCCGGGCCUUGUACACACCGCCCGUCACACCACGAGAGUUUGCAACACCCGAAGUCGGUGAGGUAACCUUUAUGGAGCCAGCCGCCGAAGGUGGGGCAGAUGAUUGGGGUGAAGUCGUAACAAGGUAGCCGUAUCGGAAGGUGCGGCUGGAUCACCUCCUUUCUA